GCACUCUCUGGCAGUACAUACACUAAUAUUGGAAUUAUAUAGAGAAAAUUAGCAUGACUCCUACACAAGGGUGACACACAAAGCAAAAUUCAUGAAGUGUUCCAUAGUAUU
rnacentral:snRNA from 1 species